rnacentral:rRNA from 1 species
CCUACGGGGGGCAGCAGUGGGGAAUAUUGGGCAAUGGACGCAAGUCUGACCCAGCAACGCCGCGUGAAGGAAGAAGGCUUUCGGGUUGUAAACUUCUUUUUAGGGGGAAGAGCAGAAGACGGUACCCCUUGAAUAAGCCACGGCUAAAUACGUGCCAGCAGCCGCGGGAAUACGUAGGUGGCAAGCGUUGUCCGGAUUGACUGGGUGUAAAGGGCGUGCAGCCGGAGAGACAAGUCAGUUGUGAAAUCCACGGGCUCAACCCGUGAACUGCAUUUGAAACUGUUUCUCUUGAGUGUCGGAGAGGUAGGCGGAAUUCGUUGUGUAGCGGUGAAAUGCGUAGAUAUAAGGAAGAACACC